CUGCCAUUUGAAGAACUACCUGCCCUACGCCAGAUCCUAGGUCUACAAAUACGUCGUCGUCGGUGACAGCAAUUUGAUCAAUCAUUUGGCAGACAAGUUCAUAGCUUGUUUCUCCAUAGACUUCUGGCGAAAAGGAUUUACAAUCCACUUAGCCUGUAACUCAUAGAGGUACACAAAAAGUCAGAUAUAAAUCUGCGAUGCAGUAUUGAAGAAGCCUGGAAUAUUGUUUAACUGCAUCGGCAUACCACAGAUAAAUGCAACAAAAUUCUUUGGUAAUAUUUGUGACAUAAAGUGAUAAAAAAUAGAUGUCAAAGUCACAUGGGGCUUUUGAAAAACGACUUGGAAAAAACUUAACGGUAUUUUGUGAACUUGGUGGAAUUACAAGCAAAAAUAUGAAUAUAGAGUGAUUGUGUGAAUUUAGGAAUAUCUACUAUUGGAUGUAUAAGUUACCGAAUAGUUUGAAUACUCUUGUAGAUAUAAUAUCUUUCAGUAUCUAUCCUACAAUAAGAGCCAAAGUUGAAGAACUGUAGAUGAUCUGAUGUCAUUGUGUAAAACUAAGCGACAUUCAUUGGGUUUUUCAUCAAUGCAUGUUCAUAUGAUAGCACUUUCAACGCUUUUAAUGUAUUAAUGAAAAGCACCUUAGAUUUGAUAUAAUUCAUAUU